ACAUAGUAAUUGAAAACAGCAAACUUCAAUUAUCUAAGGAUCAAUGUAUACAGGAUCCUGCCAUCAGGAUCAAAGGAAAAACUUGGAUAUGUGAUACAGAACUUAAACCUCAUACUAUCCAUUCUUUCUAAUGUAUAGCAUUGUUAACAUAGCUAACCAACUGUUCACUUGUAUUCAUGAUUUGUUGACAUGGCCAAUGUAACCAACUGAUCUCACCAUUUACACUAAUAUUUGUGUAGGUACAUAAGGUGUAAUAGUAUGUUCUAAAAGUAUGAUUUUAAGAAAAUGUAAAUGUGAGGAAAUAUUUAAAAAAAAAAAAAGUGGAAUUGUAUGUUUUUUUACUGAAAACAGACUGUUCUUCAGAAUAACAUCAAAUUGUUGGUGGACAGGUGUGACAUUCGCUCCAAUCUUUGCUCAGGGAAGCAUAAUGUGCCUUACCAAAAUUAUUACAGUAGUGGGAGUGGCACUUUCUGGUAUAUGUUUAGACUUUAUACACAUAUAUAAAUAGCUGUCACAAUUUUAUGUACUACUAGUAACUAGAAAAACAUGGUUAGUUUGAAACAAUUUGUGUUUAUGAUAUUCUUGAAAUGUUCUCUAGCUUAUUCGAAGAUGGGCGUGUGCAGGGACUGCUGCUGGGAGACAGUGGUUACCCACAGUUGCCAUACCUGUUCAUGCCCAUACCAGAGCAGCCAGUCCGUACAGAUGCAGAGCAGAGGUACUCAUGGCUCAUGCUCGGACGAGGAAUCUGGUGGAAAGGAUGUUCAGUGUUUGGAAGCAGCGCUUUCCCUGCUUGCAGCUUGUUUUAUGAAACAAGCUGCAGACAACAGCAGCUAUCAUUGUUGCCUGUGCCAUUUGUCACAACAUUGGUAUCAGGCACAAUGAUUAUGUGGAAGAAGCUGAGCUGCAGGCCAACAAUGAUGUGCCAAUCCCACCAGUUCCUCUCCGACCUGGGCGCGCCUGGCCAUCAGGAACGAGUUCAUCAUCCGGCAUUUCAAUCCUGUUGCUGCCGCCUGUCGUGGCUCCACUCAAGUGCUCGGUGCUGCCCCUCAGCGGCAACGUGGAGUUCCAGCCCUUCGUGUGCAGAGCAGUUAGUGGGCUGGCAGGGAUUCUGUUGUCUCUACAUCCUCGACAGGCAUGACCAGGAACAUUCAAACAUUCAGGAAUUACAGUUUUCCUUUACAUCAUAUUGAAGAUAAUUUAUUAUUUAAUGAUUUUGCAUGUUAUUUAGACACACAUUUCAGGGAAAUUGUGGGCAAACUUUGCCUAGGCUUGUAGUAAGCAGUCAUGUAGUUUACCACUGAACUACCCUUGUUUGUUUCAAUAAAAUAACAAUAUUCUUCUA